rnacentral:rRNA from 1 species
UACGUAGGGGGCAAGCGUUGUCCGGAUUUAUUGGGCGUAAAGAGCGUGUAGGCGGUUUGGUAGGUCCGCUGUGAAAACUCGAGGCUCAACCUCGAGACGCCGGUGGAAACCAUCAGACUAGAGUCCGGAAGAGGAGAGUGGAAUUCCUGGUGUAGCGGUGAAAUGCGCAGAUAUCAGGAAGAACACCCGUGGCGAAGGCGGCUCCCUGGAACGCAACUGACGCUGAGACGCGAAAGCGUGGGGAGCAAACAGG